UAAAAUUACUAUUAAAAAAUAAUUUUAUUAAAUUCUAAUAGCAAAAAUUAGACGCUAUGCAGAUUUAAAAUCAUUAUAAAUCUACAUUAUCAGAUCUCGAAAGUUAUAGUAAAAAAGAUACGAGGAAAUGACAAACAAGAGUUUUCAUAAAUGUUUAUAAGGUAUGUUGUUAAAAUUUGAAGUUUUUUGAUAUUUUUAAUAUUUAUGCAGAUUAACUUUUAUCGGAAAGUAUACUACCAGAAAGUUCAAACUACUUUACAAAUGUGUUGAUGUUCCCAGUCUUUAACAUUUAUAAGCCUACUUUGGAUCAUAUAAACUUCCAAGUUCAAUCUCUGUUGCAUGGAAUACCUGGAUUAUGAUUCAACAACUUCUGGCACAAAUCUUCCCAGUCAGCACUCAAAUCCUUACUAUCUGUAUUUGAUCGUUUCCAGCAAAUGGGGCUUUUCCUGUCACAAGCUGAAAUAAAAUGGCACCAACACUCCAGAGAUCUGACUUAUCUGAGAGUAUAAUGCAAAGAAAGAAGGGAAAAGAAGUAGAUAUAGACCUGGG
rnacentral:misc_RNA from 1 species